UCCUACGGGAGGCAGCAGUGGGGAAUAUUGCACAAUGGGCGAAAGCUGAUGCAGCGACGCCGCGUGAGGGAUGACGGCCUUCGGGUUGUAAACCUCUUUCAGCAGGGAAGAAGCAAGAGUGACGGUACCUGCAGAAGAAGCGCCGGCUAACUACGUGCCAGCAGCCGCGGUAAUACGUAGGGCGUAAGCGUUGUCCGGAAUUAUUGGGCGUAAAGAGCUCGUAGGCGGCUUGUCGCGUCGGUUGUGAAAGCCCGGGGACUUAACCCCGGGUCUGCAGUCGAUACGGGCACGCUAGAGUUCGGUAGGGGAGAUCGGAAUUCCUGGUGUAGCGGUGGAAUGCGCAGA
rnacentral:rRNA from 1 species